UUAAAGAAAAAUUUGGUUAAUGUGAAAAGAUACAGAUGCUAGUAAAAAUGAAAGUUAUUACCUUGACAAUGAGUUUGCAGUAAAAGAGACUUUGCUUCUGGAAGGGGAGAGAGAAGAUAACUAAAGUACAAUUCAAGUACUCCAUUGGAAUAGAUGCCAUGUCACAAGAGCUGAAGAAAGAUGAAGAAACUGAGGCUGAGAGAGCAAUUACAAAGGAUCUGAGGCCAUGUGGUCUGACUCCCUCAUUUUAUGGGAGCUCUACGGAGGUUAAGUGUCUUGCCUGAGGUCACAAGGGUAAUGUCCAAAGCUGAAUUUUAACCAAGGUCAUCUGACUCUGGAGCCCAUGCUGGGCUAUGCCAACCCUACAACUGUCUACGUUGUGGCCUAUGAACUUACUUAAGAAAAUAUUUUGAUAACUGUACACCAAUUUUCCUUUGAAAUUUUAUUCACUUAAAAACAUUAUUCUGAGGAAGGUCCUGCCUGUCCUCACACUGCCAAAAAGAAUCUGUAACAUACAAAAGGUUAAGAAGCCCUGGUCUAAACAAUCUGUUACUCUGCUAAGAAUAUUUUGGUCUGAGAAUAGGAAGGGAGAAAUAUGGCACAGGCCCACCAAAAUAGCAAUAGGCCAAUGCCGAGAAAAGUCUCACCUAAACACUAACAUCAAUGUUCUCUGUAGGUCUGUCAGGCUGAAUCCUUUGUCAAAUUUCUGACCUUCUCCUUGACACAAAGUAUUUAAUCAAGUGUUAGCUAUGGAGGCAGCAAAGUACAGUGGAGAGACCACUAGCUUUGGGUUCAAAUUCUACCUCUAACAUUGGGCAAGUCAUUAGUAGCAUUUGGCUUCAGUUUUCUUACCUUCAAAAUAAUAGAUUUGGGCUAAAUGGCCUGUAAUGUCCCUUCCAAUUCUAGAUCCAUAAUGCUAUCUAAAAUAAAAAACAUGACCCUCAAACCCUAUGAAAUGGAUGCUCUUCUUCAAGGUUUGGGAAUGCAAUGAUCAGAAAGGAGCCAGUGGAGGCAUGGGAUUUAUGCUCGGCUGUUGUCCUUACCUGGCACAGAAAGGAGGGAAUGAAAUAAGGAAUGGGGAGGGCAGCAUCCCAGGGAAGUCCCAGAGGUCUAACACAGUAUGAGUUAUUUGUUUAACCCCUCUGAGAUUCUCUCCAAUUUAUCCUGUACAAAUAUCUUAUUUGUGCAUACUUGUUUGCACAUUAUCUCCCUCUCAUUACACUGUGAGUUCCUUGAGAGCCCGGACUUCGGACUUUUUUUUUUUUUGGCCUUUCUUUGUAUCGAAGUGCUUACAGUGCAGUUACCUGGCACAUACUAGGUGCUUAAUAAAUGCUUAUUGACUUGCUCUGACUUGUCCUCUUCUCUAGCAGGUCCCAGAGUAAACCCAAAUGGCAGUUAAGGCUGGGAAUAGAAUGGGGAGAGGUGGGAUUUCCUUCUGGCUGAUCUUUUCUUUUUAAAAAAUUCAUUAUUGAUUUAUUUUUUAUCA